AACGAACGCUGGCGGCAGGCUUAACACAUGCAAGUCGAACGCCCCGCAAGGGGAGUGGCAGACGGGUGAGUAACGCGUGGGAACAUACCCUUUCCUGCGGAAUAGCUCCGGGAAACUGGAAUUAAUACCGCAUUCGCCCUACGGGGGAAAGAUUUAUCGGGGAAGGAUUGGCCCGCGUUGGAUUAGCUAGUUGGUGGGGUAAAGGCCUACCAAGGCGACGAUCCAUAGCUGGUCUGAGAGGAUGAUCAGCCACAUUGGGACUGAGACACGGCCCAAACUCCUACGGGAGGCUGCAGUGGGGAAUAUUGGACAAUGGGCGCAAGCCUGAUCCAGCCAUGCCGCGUGAGUGAUGAAGGCCUUAGGGUUGUAAAGCUCUUUCACCGAUGAAGAUAAUGACGGUAGUCGGAGAAGAAGCCCCGGCUAACUUCGUGCCAGCCGCCGCAGUAA
rnacentral:rRNA from 1 species